rnacentral:rRNA from 1 species
AGAAUCAACGCUGGCGGCGUGCCUAACACAUGCAAGUCGAACGAGAAAGGGUAGCAAUACCUGAGUAAAGUGGCGCACGGGUGAGUAACACGUGACUAACCUACCUUUUAGUGGGGGAUAACCUAGGGAAACCUGGGCUAAUACCGCAUAAUACCUACGGGUCAAAGCAGCAAUGCACUGAAUGAGGGGGUCGCGGUCGAUUAGUUAGUUGGCAGGGUAAUGGCCUACCAAGACUGUGAUCGAUAUCCGGCCUGAGAGGGCGCACGGACACACUGGAACUGAAACACGGUCCAGACUCCUACGGGAGGCAGCAGUGGGAAUUUUGCGCAAUGGGGAAACCCUGACGCAGCAACGCCGCGUGGAGGAUGAAGUCCCUUGGGACGUAAACUCCUUUCGAUCGGGACGAUAAUGACGGUACCGGAAGAAGAAGCCCGGCUAACUUCGCGCCAGCAGCCGC